rnacentral:misc_RNA from 1 species
UUAGGUUCAUCUUUUAUGCCUGUGAUGCAAUUUGUGGGUCCUCGUUCUUCUUUGCAAUACUCUGCAUUCCAUCCUUCAGUCUCUGGUGCAUCCAAUAUUGACCAUACAUAUUUAACUGAUACUUUACAUUAAUUUGAUAAUUUGGACCUGUAUUUUCCCCACCUAGUCCUGGUAGAUGCAACUCAGCUAGUCUACCAUCAUCCAGUGCAAAUAUUAUUCUGCCAACUUGAAGUUGUAGC